rnacentral:rRNA from 1 species
UACGUAGGGAGCAAGCGUUUGUCCGGAAUCAUUGGGCGUAAAGCGCGCGUAGGUGGCCAUGUAAGUCCGCUGUGAAAGUCGAAGGCUCAACCUUCGAAAGCCGGUGGAUACUGCAUGGCUAGAGUACGGAAGAGGCGAGUGGAAUUCCUGGUGUAGCGGUGAAAUGCGCAGAUAUCAGGAGGAACACCAGAUGAAGGCAGCUCGCUGGGACGUCACUGACGCUGAGGACGACGAAGCGUGGGGAGCAAACAGG